rnacentral:snRNA from 1 species
NNAGCAUGGCCCCUGUGCAAGGAUGACAUGCAAAUUCAUGAAGUGUUCCAUAUUUUU